AUACCUUUCUCGGCUUUUUGGCUAAGAUCAAGUGUAGUAUCUGUUCUUAUCAGUUUAAUAUUUGAUAUGUGCGGUUAUCGGUCCACAUGAUAUUAACUCUAUUUUUUUCGGGUGAAAGCCCACUAAAAUAGCUUGCUAUCCGGGCUUUCUGAAUCGUCUAGGCAUUGCACUACUGUAAGGGCAGGCUCAACCCAU